rnacentral:rRNA from 1 species
AUUGAACGCUGGCGGCAGGCCUAACACCUGCAAGUCGAACGAGGGGCGGAGGGGGGGGAAAGUUCUGGAAACUGGCCUGAUGGAGGGGUAUAACUCCUGGAAACGUUAGCAAAAACGGCUAACCUCCGGUUGUGCCCAGAUGGGAUUAGCUAGUAGGUGGGGUAAAGGCUCCCCUAGGCGACGAUCCCUAGCUGGUCUGCGAGGCUGACCGGCCACACUGGAACUGAGACACGGUCCAGACUCCUACGGGAGGCAGCAGUGGGGAAUAUUGCACAAUGGGCGCAAGCCUGAUGCAGCCAUGCCGCGUGGAUGAAGAAGGCCUUCGGGUUGUAAAGUACUUUCAGCGGGGAGGCGUUACCCGCAGAAGAAGCACCGGCUAACUCCGUGCCAGCAGCCGUGGUAAUAC